UGAGGAAUAUUGGUCAAUGGGCGAGAGCCUGAACCAGCCAAGUAGCGUGCAGGAUGACGGCCCUAUGGGUUGUAAACUGCUUUUAUAUGGGAAUAAAGUGAGGGACGUGUCCCUUAUUGCAUGUACCAUACGAAUAAGGACCGGCUAAUUCCGUGCCAGCAGCCGCGGUAAUACGGAAGGUCCAGGCGUUAUCCGGAUUUAUUGGGUUUAAAGGGAGCGUAGGCUGUUUGUUAAGCGUGUUGUGAAAUGUAAGAGCUCAACUUUUAGAUUGCAGCGCGAACUGGCAGACUUGAGUGCGCACAACGUAGGCGGAAUUCAUGGUGUAGCGGUGAAAUGCUUAGAUAUCCUGACGAACUCCGAUUGCGAAGGCAGCUUACGGGAGCGCAACUGACGCUAAAGCUCGAAGGUGCGGGUAUCGAACAGG
rnacentral:rRNA from 1 species